rnacentral:rRNA from 1 species
GGGUUGUGAGGUUAAGCGACUAAGCGUACACGGUGGAUGCCCUGGCAGUCAGAGGCGAUGAAGGACGUGCUAAUCUGCGAAAAGCGUCGGUAAGGUGAUAUGAACCGUUAUAGCCGGCGAUGUCCGAAUGGGGAAACCCAGUGUGAUUCGUCACACUAUCGUUAACUGAAUACAUAGGUUAACGAGGCGAACCGGGGGAACUGAAACAUCUAAGUACCCCGAGGAAAAGAAAUCAACCGAGAUUCCCCCAGUAGCGGCGAGCGAACGGGGAGCAGCCCAGAGUCUGAAUCAGCUUGUGUGUUAGUGGAACGGUCUGGAAAGUCCGACGGUACAGGGUGAUAGUCCCGUACACCAAAAUGCACAGGUUGUGAACUCGAAGAGUAGGGCGGGACACGUGGUAUCCUGUCUGAAUAUGGGGGGGACCAUCCUCCAAGGCUAAAUACUCCUGACUGACCGAUAGUGAACCAGUACCGUGAGGGAAAGGCGAAAAGAACCCCGGCGAGGGGAGUGAAAAAGAACCUGAAACCGUGUACGUACAAGCAGUGGGAGCACCUUCGGGUGUGACUGCGUACCUUUUGUAUAAUGGGUCAGCGACUUAUAUUCUGUAGCAAGGUUAACCGUAUAGGGGAGCCGCAGGGAAACCGAGUCUUAACUGGGCGUUAAGUUGCAGGGUAUAGACCCGAAACCCGGUGAUCUAGCCAUGGGCAGGUUGAAGGUUGGGUAACACUAACUGGAGGACCGAACCGACUAAUGUUGAAAAAUUAGCGGAUGACUUGUGGCUGGGGGUGAAAGGCCAAUCAAACCGGGAGAUAGCUGGUUCUCCCCGAAAGCUAUUUAGGUAGCGCCUCGUGAAUUCAUCUUCGGGGGUAGAGCACUGUUUCGGCUAGGGGGUCAUCCCGACUUACCAACCCGAUGCAAACUACGAAUACCGAAGAAUGUUAUCACGGGAGACACACGGCGGGUGCUAACGUCCGUCGUGAAGAGGGAAACAACCCAGACCGCCAGCUAAGGUCCCAAAGUCAUGGUUAAGUGGGAAACGAUGUGGGAAGGCACAGACAGCCGGAUGUUGGCUUAGAAGCAGCCAUCAUUUAAAGAAAGCGUAAUAGCUCACUGGUCGAGUCGGCCUGCGCGGAAGAUGUAACGGGGCUAAACCAUGCACCGAAGCUGCGGCAGCGACACUAUGUGUUGUUGGGUAGGGGAGCGUUCUGUAAGCCUGCGAAGGUGACCUGUGAGGGUUGCUGGAGGUAUCAGAAGUGCGAAUGCUGACAUAAGUAACGAUAAAGCGGGUGAAAAGCCCGCUCGCCGGAAGACCAAGGGUUCCUGUCCAACGUUAAUCGGGGCAGGGUGAGUCGACCCCUAAGGCGAGGCCGAAAGGCGUAGUCGAUGGGAAACAGGUUAAUAUUCCUGUACUUGGUGUUACUGCGAAGGGGGGACGGAGAAGGCUAUGUUAGCCGGGCGACGGUUGUCCCGGUUUAAGCAUGUAGGCUGAUUAUCCAGGCAAAUCCGGAUAAUCAAGGCUGAGGUGUGAUGACGAGGCACUACGGUGCUGAAGUAACAAAUGCCCUGCUUCCGUGAAAAGCCUCUAAGCAUCAGGUAACAUCAAAUCGUACCCCAAACCGACACAGGUGGUCAGGUAGAGAAUACCAAGGCGCUUGAGAGAACUCGGGUGAAGGAACUAGGCAAAAUGGUGCCGUAACUUCGGGAGAAGGCACGCUGGUGUGUAGGUGAAGUCCCUGCGGAUGGAGCUGAGACCAGUCGAAGAUACCAGCUGGCUGCAACUGUUUAUUAAAACACAGCACUGUGCAAACACGAAAGUGGACGUAUACGGUGUGACGCCUGCCCGGUGCCGGAAGGUUAAUUGAUGGGGUUAUCCGUAAGGAGAAGCUCUUGAUCGAAGCCCCGGUAAACGGCGGCCGUAACUAUAACGGUCCUAAGGUAGCGAAAUUCCUUGUCGGGUAAGUUCCGACCUGCACGAAUGGCGUAAUGAUGGCCAGGCUGUCUCCACCCGAGACUCAGUGAAAUUGAACUCGCUGUGAAGAUGCAGUGUACCCGCGGCAAGACGGAAAGACCCCGUGAACCUUUACUAUAGCUUGACACUGAACAUUGAGCCUUGAUGUGUAGGAUAGGUGGGAGGCUUUGAAGCGUGGACGCCAGUCUGCGUGGAGCCAACCUUGAAAUACCACCCUUUAAUGUUUGAUGUUCUAACGUUGGCCCCUGACCGGGGUUGCGGACAGUGUCUGGUGGGUAGUUUGACUGGGGCGGUCUCCUCCCAAAGCGUAACGGAGGAGCACGAAGGUUAGCUAAUCCUGGUCGGACAUCAGGAGGUUAGUGCAAUGGCAUAAGCUAGCUUGACUGCGAGCGUGACGGCGCGAGCAGGUGCGAAAGCAGGUCAUAGUGAUCCGGUGGUUCUGAAUGGAAGGGCCAUCGCUCAACGGAUAAAAGGUACUCCGGGGAUAACAGGCUGAUACCGCCCAAGAGUUCAUAUCGACGGCGGUGUUUGGCACCUCGAUGUCGGCUCAUCACAUCCUGGGGCUGAAGUAGGUCCCAAGGGUAUGGCUGUUCGCCAUUUAAAGUGGUACGCGAGCUGGGUUUAGAACGUCGUGAGACAGUUCGGUCCCUAUCUGCCGUGGGCGCUGGAGAAUUGAGGGGGGCUGCUCCUAGUACGAGAGGACCGGAGUGGACGCAUCACUGGUGUUCGGGUUGUCAUGCCAAUGGCACUGCCCGGUAGCUAAAUGCGGAAGAGAUAAGUGCUGAAAGCAUCUAAGCACGAAACUUGCCCCGAGAUGAGUUCUCCCUGAGACUUUAAGUCUCCUGAAGGAACGUUAAAGACGAUGACGUUGAUAGGCCGGGUGUGUAAGCGCAGCGAUGCGUUGAGCUAACCGGUACUAAUGAACCGUGAGGCUUAACCUUACAACGCCGAAG